GAAAUAAUUACAUCAGAAGCGUCGUAUUUGAAAAGCAUCAAUGUUCUCAUAAAUGUGUUUAUGGAGUCCGACAUGUUCUGUCAUGAAUCAUCGACUCAGUCUAUGGUUGACAAACAGACACAUGAUUUAAUCUUUUCAAACAUAGCUGAAAUACGAGAAACAAGUGAAAGAUUUCUGAAAGAAUUAGAAUCCAACUGGAAGAGAGAUGUUUACUUGUCUGAUGUUUGUAAAAUUGUGGCCGACCAUGCCAAGCAAAAUUUUAAGUGUUACGUUGACUACUGUAGUACUCAGCAUGUACAAAGCAGAACAAUACAAGAAUUGAG